UCAUCUUUCUAAAAAUCUAAUUUAUAAAUUCAAUUUCAAUCUCAACCGUUGGUCAAGAUUGAUCCACCUCUUUCUUUUCUUUUUAAUCAAAGCCCUAACCUAUUCUCUCAAAUAGCCACAUCUCACCUCUCCCUCUACUGUUUCUUUCUCUCUCCCUCCGAUUAUUGCUCCACGCCACCAGCAAACUCUCCUCCCCCACCGACGAACACAACAACGUUAUCUCUGAUGCCCACAGACCGAUAACAAUCACCGAUAGAACCCAUUACUGUUGUCGCUUCACCUCUCGCCAAUGAACCAGCCAUCAGUCGCACCAAAGGCGAACCAAUCACCUCCUACCAGUGUCGCUACCCAACUGCCAGAACCCACCUCUCCAGUCGACACAGCAACCAGUAUCAGCCUCGCGAACCAGCUCACCCCGCUGCAGCUGCUCCUCCGUAUUUCACCAUGACACCACCGAUGAACAGGAGAGCUAACCAGUUUGUCAACCAAUAAGCCUCCACCAGGCGCCGCCUUCCUUUUUUGUUCCUUUAUCUGCGGGUAAAGUGACGGUGAAAGGACAACAAUAUUAGUCGUUACUGUACGAUUUUGCUUUUGCCAAAAAUGUUGCAAUGGAUUCAUAAGAAUCUGUCCAGGUGUCCUUGAAGAAUGUGUGGGAUUUGAAGAGUUGCCCUGAAAUUUGAGAAAGGGCAGCCUAUUUCUUCAUAGUUUAGUCUCUGUUUUUCUUUCAUUCAUCGGUCUGUAAUAUUAUUGUAUGAACGCUAUGUGAAAGUAGAAGUUAUGGAGACUUCUUAUAGGGGGGGCAGGGAUUUUGUGAUUUGAUUGUUUUUGCACUUAGAUAUCAUGGCUAUAUGAUUAUUUAAUAA